rnacentral:rRNA from 1 species
CAGUAGCCGCGGGAAUACGGAGGGUGCAAGCGUUAAUCGGAAUUACUGGGCGUAAAGCGCACGCAGGCGGUCUGUCAAGUCGGAUGUGAAAUCCCCGGGCUCAACCUGGGAACUGCAUUCGAAACUGGCAGGCUAGAGUCUUGUAGAGGGGGGUAGAAUUCCAGGUGUAGCGGUGAAAUGCGUAGAGAUCUGGAGGAAUACCGGUGGCGAAGGCGGCCCCCUGGACAAAGACUGACGCUCAGGUGCGAAAGCGUGGGGAGCAAACAGGAUUAGAUACCCCUGUAGUCCCUGUCUCUUAUAC